AAUAGCCCAGAGGGUGACGGUACCUCCAGAAGAAGCCCCGGCUAACUACGUGCCAGCAGCCGCGGUAAUACGUAGGGGGCAAGCGUUGUCCGGAUUUAUUGGGCGUAAAGAGCGUGUAGGCGGCUUCACAGGUCCGCUGUGAAAACUCGAGGCUCAACCUCGAGCUGUCGGUGGAAACCGUGUGGCUAGAGUCCGGAAGAGGAGAGUGGAAUUCCUGGUGUAGCGGUGAAAUGCGCAGAUAUCAGGAAGAACACCCGUGGCGAAGGCGGCUCUCUGGGACGGUACUGACGCUGAGACGCGAAAGCGUGGGGAGCAAACAGGAUUAGAUACCCUAGUAGUCCAC
rnacentral:rRNA from 1 species